rnacentral:rRNA from 1 species
UACGUAGGGGGCGAGCGUUGUCCGGAUUUACUGGGCGUAAAGGGUGAGUAGGCGGUUGUAUAUGUCAGGUGUAAAAGGCACAGGCUUAACUUGUGUUAGCACUUGAAACUGUACGACUUGAGUGCAGGAGAGGUAAGCGGAAUUCCUAGUGUAGCGGUGAAAUGCGUAGAUAUUAGGAGGAACACCAGUGGCGAAGGCGGCUUACUGGACUGUAACUGACGCUGAGUCACGAAAGCGUGGGUAGCAAACAGGAUUAGAUACCCUGGUAGUCCACGCUGUAAACGAUGAGUGCUAGGUGUUGGGUAGCGAUACUCAGUGCCGCAGCAAACGCAAUAAGCACUCCGCCUGGGGAGUACGGUCGCAAGACUGAA